rnacentral:rRNA from 1 species
UACGUAGGGUGCGAGCGUUAAUCGGAAUUACUGGGCGGAAAGCGUGCGCAGGCGGUUUCGUAAGUCUGUCGUGAAAUCCCCGGGCUUAACCUGGGAAUGGCGAUGGAGACUGCGAGGCUAGAGUUUGGCAGAGGGGGGUAGAAUUCCACGUGUAGCAGUGAAAUGCGUAGAGAUGUGGAGGAACACCGAUGGCGAAGGCAGCCCCCUGGGUCAAAACUGACGCUCAUGCCCGAAAGCGUGGGGAGCAAACAGG